UGUCUAUUUGAUAACUAAUGAGAGAGUAAAGUGCGGAACGGCGACCGGCAGUUUUAGGGUUAAGCGCUUGAAGCUGGGAUUGGGCCAUGCUACAGCUAAUGGAGCCUUCGCUCUUAUCCAGCCCUCUCCAAUUUGAAGGUCAAAAUCUCAGAACAAGUUAAGCAGAUCGUUCGAAGCCCAUGCUAUCCCGGUAUUAGUUCGGUAGUCCUUUGAUCGUAUUCAUGUUAGAGUAUGCCCAAAGACCAAUCAUGGUAUGUCUGUAAUCACAUAAUCGUUUUACCUUGUUUGUUAAUAUAAGGCAUUGCCAUUGUUAUUUCAGUUUCUUUUCUGUAUGUAUAAAUAAACUGGUUAAUAAUAAAAUCUUGAGGAUAAUAUGAUUAUUCUUAAAA